GUUAAGGGCAGCCGUCUGGCCCAGGGAGAGCUGGCCUCCGGGAGAUGCCUCCUCUGGCCACUAGAGGGGGCAGCGGCCGCAGAGCCAGACUCACAGGGCCUGAACUGGCCAAGACGGGCUCCGCAGACCCUGCCUAUAACGGAGGAGCACCUCCUCCCGGCCUUGGCAGUGUGGGUCCCUCCAUGAACGAGUCCGUCCCUGGCAUGUCCCCCGGCCCCGGGGACACAGUGCCUGGUCUCAGUGGAGGCGCCAGCUGGAAAGAGGAAAUAGCGACCAGCGGGAAGGCUGGAAUUCCUGGGGGAGCCGGGAUUUCAGCUGGGCCCUAACAGAACCAGGGAGGUCGGGAGGCAGAGCCUUCGAGGCCGGAGGAGAGCCAGAGAGAAUGCCGGGAGCUAGAGAGUCGAGGGUCUUGGUGGAGCAGCUGGGAGGUGUUCUUGGCAGAGAUACUAGAGUGGUUUGCCAUUUCCACCUGCAGCUCAUUUUACAGACUGGCUUCUGAUCACUCACUCAAGAGAAACUGCUCUCUCUCCAUAGUUGCCAACAAUCUUUUAAUUGCCCAAUCUGUUGGUAUUUCCUCAACUCUCAUGCUUUUUUUGAUCUCUGUCAUAUUUGACUUGGUUGACUCAUCAAUUCAAGAAACUUUUUUUAAGGACUUACUUUGUCCUAGACACCUCCAAACUCUGGAAAUACAAACAAGAAAAAGAAAGACAGUUCUUUCCCUCAAGGAGCUUACGGUCUAAUGGGGAAGUUUAUAAUUAGAAUCUGCUCCCCAGAACUUCAAUUCCCAGCAUCCCACUUUCAGUCUCACAUUAUGUUCUUACAUUUUGGAGAUAAAGUUUGUGUGUGACUAUGCCUCUUUUUUUUCCCCAUGAACUCGGGUGGGAAAACUUUACUCAAGGUUUUUACUUUUGCCCUUUUAUUUCUUCUAUUU